AAUGCACCAUGUUGUAAGUCGCUCUGGAUAAGAGCGUCUGCUAAAUGACUUAAA
rfam:Salmo salar isolate Sally breed double haploid chromosome ssa10, whole genome shotgun sequence.